UUUCAUUGAAAACUUCCUGUUUCAAAUUUCAGUUUUCAUAUUUCUCCUCGAGUAAUAUAUCCAAAAUUAUUAAUUCGAAAUAUUCUGCUGCUCAAUGAUGACAACAUUAUCUUAUGAGAAUAUAGAUUGAUUACUAGAAGGGCAUGAAAUAUUCGGGUUACGAGAAAUAGGCUGUGUCCCAAGAACACUAAUCAUGGUCGCAACUCCCACAUAACACAGUCUGAGAGAUAAGCAGUGGCAAUGUUAUGUCAGACCAAAAAUACCUGUUUCUCCCUAAGCAUCAGAGGUGAAUGGCAUAACUGUUCGAAAUGGUAGAAUGCAUCACAAUGGAAAAUUGUUGAAACAUCUGACAUAUCUAGUGCUUUAGAUGCAUUUAUUGAUUUUCUCUCGAAAAUUGGAAGUGGAACAUGUCUGUAUGGACACAAAUUCACACAAUAUCAAAUCUUUUGAUUGCCAUGUUCUGUUUAAUGCUUUAGAAGCAGUUGGAAAAAUCGAGAAGAUUAAUACUUUUUUCCCUCAUGCUUAAAGAUAUUGACUUAAUAAUGGUAUAUAGUUUUAUCAUGACAAGCUACAGACCAAGUUCAAAUGUUGUUCCUGUCUGAUGAUUUUGUGCAGAGUUAUGGUCCUUGGACAUAGAAAAUUCAGUCAAAUAAUCAGUUUUCCACACUGUUUUUCUUCAUGCUUGAAGAUAUUGACUUGAUAUUUGUUAUAUAUAGUUUACACCAUGACAAGUUAUAGAUCAAGUUAGCAUUUUGUUCCAGUACAAUUAAUUUUAACCUGUAGGGGACUAUGUAUUGCCAUGCAAUACUCUAAGAAUGCUUGUUAGUAUAAAAAUUGGUUGGGCUCCUAAAAUUUCAACUGGGCCCCUGAAAAAAAUAUUUUAGGGGCCCAGCUGGCCCCCGGAGGAAAACUGUUAAGUUUAGUCCCUGAGACUAUUGUAAGAUGUUAAUACAUCGCAUCAAGAGGAAUCGCCAUGACAUUCAUGCCUUUUGAUUGACAUAUUUUCUUUGAAGAAAUGCUGGUAAAUGAGGCAUUGAUUACUUAUUUUUGCUUUUCAAAGAAUGAAAUAACAGCUUGGAUACAAUUUGAAAUUGGCAAAGGCAAAGUCUCCUCUUCCAAAUCUUUCAAUGAUACUCCAUGUCUUGUAAAAAGAUGUGAAAGUAUGAUAGUGUGGAGAACCAUUGAUAAAUCAUCAAUAAAUACUAGCAUUCCAGUACUGGUAACUAAAAAUGAAGAACUGGAAGAAGAAGACAUUUGUAGCAAUGUAUUUUCAUGUCCUGAAGACGGCUGUGUUGCAACAUUUUUAAAAUAUGGACAACUAUGUAAUCACCAUAACAGGGGCAAACAUACUUGCCCUCAGAAUAAUUUAAAUCUGAAGUGAGCACACACAAAUUAACUAUGCUGCUUUAAUGGAAAGCAAAAGUUCUGCGGAAAAAGUUAUUCAUUCCUGUAUAACAAAUGCAAUACAAGCAAAUUCUAUAUUAAAGAAAGGAUGGGCAUUGAAGAGUAAGAGAGAGGUUAAGAGAUUUUCCAAAGAGCAGAUAGAAAAUAUGACAGAGAAAUUUCAGUUUGGUGAAUCCAAUGGAUAUAAGUGUGACCCAGAUGAGGUGGCAAGAGAGAUGAGACAUGUAAAAAACAGUAAGGGCAUCCAGAAAUUUCAACUAGAACACUUUCUUUCUCUUUCUUAAAUUGCUAGGUUUUUUUUAGCAUAUUUUCACUAAAAAAAAAAAAAGCAUCAAAUACUGUUUUUUGACGAUUGUGAUCUGAUAGCAGAAGAAUCUAAAACUGAGAUGUGUCAGCUAACUGAAUUAGCAAAUACUGUAUUGUAAACAUUUGACAUUUUUGGUCUUUUUUCAAAACCUCUCAUCUGAUUGAUGUAGUUAAUAUUUGAAAAAUUUCUUCUCAAUAACUUCUUAAAAAAUUGAUUGAUUGAUUGUUGUUUUUGCUUAAUGUCCAGUAGCAAAUAUUUCAUGCAUUUUCAGGAACACUUAUUGAAUUGAAACCAAGCUGUGCGACUUAAAUCAUUUUGUGAGAAGCUGUGACAUCCACGGAUCCAGUACCCCACCUUUUUUCCUAUACAUGUAUUUUGAAUAUUCAAAAUUUAUACCCUUUUAUAUACAUUUUGACCAACAAUAGACCUAUAUAGCUAUAUUUAACUACUUCAUGGAGAGUUAAAUAACAAAUAUCUGAUGCAUUUAUCACUGAGGUUAAAAUUUCAUCUUUAGAAAAUAUUCAGUUUUAGAAGCUCAUGAUAUGACCUACAACCUUAUCAACUAUUUGUAAUAUUUUUCUUGCCCUUUUAUAUAUAUUUAAUACAAAGCUCAUCCCUUCUGCUAAAUACAUAAAGGGAAACAUACAGCCUUCAACAAUAGACAUGAGUUUACUCAAUAUGUGAAGCUCUAAACAUUUACAUAACUUGUGAAUGAAUUAAACAGAAACAACAAUAAGUCCCAAUUGAUUUGAAACUGAUGCUAUAUAUAGUGUCAUCUGAUGAUGCAAUUUAAAGGUUUUUAUUCAGAUUGGCAUGUGAUCCUAAGCUGGUUUUGGUAAAACUGAUACUGUGGAUUCAUUUAUUUUCGUGGGUACCAAUUUUCGUGGAUUAAGGAAAACUUACAUGUUCGUGAAUAUCUAAUUUCGUGGUUUUGCCGAAGUCUGCAUACAAGCCUAUAGAAAAUUUGGUAUUCGUUGAACAUUUAAUUUCGUGGUUCACCUGUACCCACGAAAUCCACGAAAAUUGGUAUCCAACGAAUAAUAAUGAAUCCACAUCUUUUUGCAGUGAACACCGGGAUUAUUUUGUCAGAUAUAAAAAAUGGUACAAUCUCUUGUGUGUUAAAAUACAUGAUUUUGUGAAUAUCAAAGAAGUAAAGUAAAAUAAUUGUAGCAUGCUGUGUUGAUAAUGUAUGGACUUUCACAGUUAAACAUGUUAAAGAAAGAUGUUCAGGUAGAUAUUGGUUAUUAAUCAUGUUUACAGUUAAAGGGGUAUUAGCUACGAGAUAUAAAAAAAAUUAGAAUAUGAUUUUUUUUUUUGUUCAAUCAUUAAUGAAAGUGAAAUAGUGAAAUAAUAAUUCGCUUUUAGCAGCUUUAAAAGGAAAAGAAUGUCAACAUUGAAAGUGAAACAAGGAUGAACCAUUUCGUUGACUGAUUCGAUCGACAAAAAAUCAUUCUUAAACAGGCAAAAACGACAAUUAACUUAUUUUUUUAGCCUGUAACAUGAAAUCAAACAGACCAAGAAAAGUCCAAUUGCACGAGGUCGCUAUCUAUUUAUAGUUAUGUUUAUAUCGGGUUAUGUGACCGUUGUAGGUUAUUGGAGGUCAUCUUGAUGAUUAAUUACAUGGUGUCUAGACUAAAAUAUACACGAAAUGCUGAUAUAUAUUGAGUCCAUGCAUUGUUUAUUGUUUAUUUCAGACUUAUUGUAAUUUGGAUAUACGUUUUAGUAUAUUAUAAAUCAAAUAUGAGAAUUUGAGUCAAAUCAGUGAACAUGAAUUUGACAGCUAAUGCCCCUUUAAUGGAAUACAGGAUUUAAUGUCAACAUAUUGCUUAUCUACAUUGUUUUAAAAUAUUGUACAAAAUUUAAGUACAAUUCCAAUGUAUCAUUAAAAGAUUGAAAUUUUUAGCAAAAACUUCACCCUGUUGCUAAGGUAAUUUAUUUGUUGCUAAGGAUUUCGCUGCUUUCAAUGCAGAUGUUAAAUUUUGACAUUGCUUGUAUAUAUUUUCUUGAAACAUUGCAGCAUACCUGAAUACAUUAAAAAAAAUGUGAUUGUAAACAUUUUACAUGUUGCUCAUGUUCUAUCGUCGUUGCAAUGGUCUUAAUUGUGUAGCUUUAAAUUUUUUCUUUGAAUUAUACUGAAGCAAUUGGGUAUUGCUUAAAAAAAUUGUGAAGAUACAUGAUACAUUUUAUCAAUUUUGAAUAAACCUACAGAUUUUCAUUUUAAGCACUGAAAAUAUCAUGUUGCUAAGGCACCAAUUAUGUUGCUAUGGAAUAUUUGUUAUUGUUGUUUGGUCUUUUCUUUUGAUAUAAUUGUAAAAAUUCACUGUUGCUUGUAUGAGUUUUCUAGAUACAUGAUAAAACAUAUGAAAAUGCCAAAAAAUUUAAAUUAUAAGCAACAUAUGCCUGUUGCAAAGGUAGAUUUUAAUGUUGCCAUGGUGUAAAUUUAGUUGCUAUGGGUUUUUUACUUAGGAAAAUGACUGCAAUCAUAGUGUGCUUUGACCCUGUUAUGUUUUCCAUAUAAAAUGUUUACUAAAAUGACAAAAAAAAUGUUUGUAGAUCUGUCACCAAGGUCCAGAGCAUUAUUAGAUAAGGGGGAGCUAACUCGUAUGUACUCGAACCAAGGAACAGGGGGUCAGUCUAUCGCUAGACUUAAUGUUCUGAUAGGCAUAGCUUAAACGCAAGAAAGGUUUUCAUAAUUUAAUCAAUGAUAACAAUUUAGAUGAAUGAUGAUAAUAAUCAAUUAGUAAACAAUGCCAAAUAAUAAUAAUCUAAUUCAAGUACAAAGUAUCAAAUCUAAAUAUCAAAUCCAAAGUAAGACUAUUUCUCUUAUACUGUAAAAUAUAAAAUAAAUGCCAAAACUACUAAUUCAUAAAAUGAACUUAAUCUCAAAAUCAAAAUGUCAAAGUCUCAAAAAUAUAAUAAUUCUCAAAUAGAAAUUGCUAAAGGUAAUAAAUGUGAGUCAGAGAGAAAUUUUGUCUCAACACUAAACCGUCAACUGGUAGAUUGGUAGACAGUCUUGUAGGUCCAGUAUCAUGUAGUGAGUGGUUAUGGUUCAGAAACACUGACUGCCUUUCCACUACUAAAUAGAGUUUAAUGGUGACUACCCUUGCGGGUAUUGCGCCAGAUUACCUUAUAUAAAAACAUUUCAAAUAAAUGUUUUAAAAUUUAUUAUUAUUUAGGAAUUAACCUGUAUUAUAUAUUCAUAUUGUAGUAAAUUGUGAGUUUUUUUUUUUUUUUUUUUUUUUUUUUUU